ensembl:snRNA U6 U6 spliceosomal RNA
GUGCUCGCUUUGGCAGCACAUAUACUAAAACUGGAAUGAUACAGAGGAGAAGAUUAGCAUGGUGUCUGUACAAGAAUGAGAUGCAAAUUCAUGAAGCAUCCCAUAUUUUU